CACAGGUCAAGUAGGCUGUAUUGGGGUGGACAUAAUUGGAGAUGUCAUAGUAAAAAAUUCCACAUUUGAUAAAGAAUCGGUAUGCGACCCGGCCAAACUAGAUAAGGACUUGAGGAUAUACUACCAUGCAGCACAAAUAGAUGGGCGACUGGUUCGUGUCUCUCCCUGUGCCUCCGGACACAACAGGGAAAAGAACUGCAACACCGGCACCUGUAGUAUGUCAAGGGACGGCCCGGUCUGCAGAUGUAACCAGGACUACUGGUACCUAGACUCGAUUGCUACGGUCCUAUCCUGAAGAGGACCUCUUUGCCGCGCUACUGACCCUGGCAGACUGGUGAUAGCAGCCGUGGGGUCAUGGUGGUCUAUGUGCCCUGGCAUAGACGACAAUUACAUAGGGUGAAAGACAUCCAUACAAAACAAGUUAACCAGUGGCUGGAGGAAGACUUUGAAUGGCCCAACAGGCCAAAUAYAGGUGGCCACUUGAUUGGUUCAAGUAGUACAACAGACCUAACAGAGAAUGAGCCUAACCCACCUUAUGGUGGCCGAGUGGGCUUGCAGUACGACGCAGAGGGAGAUUCCCUGUCGUCCUCCAGUACAAGGCUKCCGUCUCCCUACCAUGGAACACAGGCACAGGUGUCCAGGAGGAGGUCUGAGACCAUCUGCCAUGACUACAGUUCCUGGGGCGCUGAUAGGGACGCCAUUCAAGUCAUACAGACYACUGCCACCUCGUCAGGGCAGCAUUUUACAUUGAGUGACCCUGGCAGCCAAUCAGAGGUGGGAACGGAAUGUUCAUYAUAAUGCUGUGAAAUAUGUAUGUAAUAGGUAUGGUUGCCCCUCGUAAACUGUUUCAGCCUUCUGGGUGUGCACUUUCCAAGUAGAUUACUACAUGAUUGAGGACACACAGAGGAGCUAGUGAUCACUUUAGAAACCUAUUCCAUACUCAAAUACCUGUUUUAAAUAUUCCCUGACAGAU